rnacentral:pre_miRNA from 1 species
AUAAUUAUUGGAGGGACAGAUGCCAGGAACCCUGGUUAUGAUUUGCAUCUGGCAUCUGUCACACAGAUAAUUAU